rnacentral:lncRNA from 1 species
UCAUUUUACACAAAGCGUAAUAUACUAAAUGUAAUAAUAAUUUUCUCCCUCUAGCAUCAGCAGCUAUUCAAGAAUUAAAUCAGGCUCUUGAUGCUGAGGAUCAGAAAGCCCUGCUGGCCAGCCUCAGGUUGCCUGCACUUGGUCUUGUGGGAAUCUUUGAUGACAACUCCUGCUUUUACCUGGAGCACUUCACAUCCUACAGGGAGCAUAAAGUUAAGGAUGCUGGUGCGGGUGCUCAGCUGGAGAGGGAAGAGAUUCAGAGGGUCAUCACUUCCUGUAACGAGUUUGCAGAGGCAGAGAAACGAAGUAUGUUGCACGAACACAUGUAUACUUGACUAGGUGAUAAUAUAUAGACUAGAGUAAAAUCGAUAUUCUGUAGAUAUGAAGCUUUGUUUGAUUUCAUUCUUUCUCAUUCAGAAUCAACCAUUACACAUGAAUUUAGAUAUCACAACAUUAUAAUAUACAACCAGAAAAAUAAUUAUACUCAUUUUGAGAUUUUCUAAACAUUUAACAGUGUUAAUAAAGUAAAGUUUUUUUAAAGAUUCAGUGAACAUCAGAUGAUGCCAAAGGUAAAUGUUAAAAUAAGGAAAAUGAUCUUAAAGGGAUACUCCACCCCAAAAUGAAAAUUUUGUCAUUAAUCACUUACCCCCAUGUCGUUCCAAACCUGUAAAAGCUCCGUUCGUCUUCGGAACACAGUUUAAGAUAUUUUUGAUGAAAACCGGGAGGCCUGUGACUGUCCCAUAGACUGCCAAGUAAAUAACAGUGUCAAGGUCCAGAAAAGGUAUGAAAGUCAUCAUCAGAAUACUCCAUCUGCCAUCAGACGUGCAAUCUGGGUUAUAUGAAGCGACGGGAACACUUUUUGUAAGCGAAGAAAACAAAAAUAAUGACUUUAUUCAAUAAUACCUUUGUCAACAGUCUCCACUGUGUCUCUCCAUAUCACUGUAUGCUGCGUAUGCUCGUCUAUAUCAUCCGCGCCACAAGGAUGCACUGUUUCUACGUGUAUUUAGCUUUGAUUUGAAAGAAACAGUGCAUCCUUGUGGCGCGAAUGACACAGAAGAUACGGUGAUAUGGAGAGACACAGAGGAGACUGUUGACAAAGGAAUUGUUGAAUAAAGUUAUUAUUUUGUUUCUUUGCUUACAAAAAGUGUUCCCGUCACUUCAUAUAACCCAGAUUGAAUGUCUUAUGGCAGAUGGAGUAUUCUGACGACAAUUUUCAUACCUUUUAUGGACCUUGACACUGUUAUUUACUUGGCAGUCUAUGGGACAGUCACAGGCCUCCCGGUUU